AUCUGCAAAGAAGUCAGCUCCUCUUAAAAGUAUUAGCGGUGACUUGGUUAGCCGUUCCUUGGUGUGAUAAUUAUCUACGCUUUGGUUCAGCUUCCAGUUUGUGUCACAGCUUCUAACUGUCUGUUAACUCGGACUGUUUGCUUGCAAACACUUUAUUGACUCUUGACCUCAAAUCAGGUAGGACUACCCGCUGAACUUAA
rnacentral:misc_RNA from 1 species